GGUUCCAUAGAGUAGUGGUUAACACGUCUGCUUCACACGCAGAAGGUCUUGGGUUCAAGUCCCAGCAGAGCCA
rnacentral:tRNA from 1 species